AACCAUAGAAACCUGCGGAGUACCUGCGGAGGGAUCAUUAAAGAUUGACCGAAAGGUCUUAUCUCUAUAUCCCUCACCUCUGUGAACUGUGGACCUCCGGGUCUAUUUAACAAACAUCAGUGUAAUGAACGUAUAUAUCAUUAAACAAAACAAAACUUUUAACAAUGGAUCU
rnacentral:misc_RNA from 1 species